rnacentral:lncRNA from 1 species
AUCCAGAUGCGAUUGUCUUCAACUCGUCAAUGCACUAUGGAACUCCGAGCUACUGGGUGCAAAAAUUCUUCAGAGAGUCAAGUGGAGCAACUCUUCUUGACGCUAAACUACAAACAAAUUCCUCUACACUUGUUGCAUCUGCAAUUACUUGGCAAAAUUCAGAUGGCAAAACUUACCUGAAAAUAAAGGUAUGCUAAUACCAGCAUGGCUUGCAGGGAUCAUGCCCUAAACACCAAUUUUAAGUUUUUAUCCUUUUUUUUUAUCAAUGUUGCAAGUUUGAAUCCUUUUCCAAUUUAACAAAUAUGGCAUAAUCCAUCGAGUCAACUUUUGUGGUCUUCCCAACAUAACAUGCUGCUGCUGGUUGACGACAAACACACGUAAAAUCGGAUUGUAAGAGUUUCUCAUAUUGAUUAUUUUCAGCCAAGUUCUUACUUUCAGGGAAAUGUAUUUUUCAGAUUGUGAAUUUUGGGAACAGCAAAGUGAAUCUCAAAGUUUCCAUUGAUGGAUUGGGGCUCAGCUCACAAUUGUCUGGAUCAACAAAAACUGUGCUCACUUCUUCUAACUUAAUGGACGAGAAUUCCUUCGCGAAUCCAAAAAAGGUUUCUGACAUCUUUGUCAUGACCCUCAUGAAUUUUCAAUGGCCUCAGAACCUUUCAAUUCCAGUUUAUGUAGCAAAUCUGCUAACUGUCUUGGCUUCUUCACGUAAUGCAGGUGGUGCCAGCACAAACUAUGCUCGAGAAUGCUGACAAAGACAUGGAUGUUGUACUCUCUCCAUAUUCCUUAACUUCAUUUGAUUUGUUAACAGAAUCAAACAAUAUCAGGAUGCCACAAACUGAUUCUCUCUCAAGAUCAUCAAUUUAGAAAAAUAAAUUAAUACAUGAUGUGUAAUUAUAGGAAACAAUCUAAAUAAUGUUAUUUGUGGCUGGCUGGUGUCUUUGCCUGCAAUUUAUGUUAAUUUUCGUUGGCUAAUCUCACCUUGUAAAAUAUAUCUAUAUUGUUGCUUUUCAAUCAAACCUGUUGUGUGAAUGUCUAGUCAUGGCUGAAGAAUCUUUCAUCCACAAAACAGUAAGGUACCCUCCUUGACGGUAUCCUACCAAUGAGUCCCCCAACAAAUGAUUUUCUCAAUCAAGUCCUCCAUCCAAUUAGAACAGCUAAUGUCACGCAAUUACCCAGAUUCAAAUUUAAAAUCACAAUCAAUUGAGUCCCAGUAAGCAACUAAUUUCUUUCACUCUCUCUCUCACUAAACCUUUCUCAGUUUGUUUUAUUCUGAUUUUAUCUUUACCCUCUUCUGAUUUUGAUUGUUUUUACACUCAUAAUUGAACAUAUUAAUGUUUUGACAAAAACCCUGUAUUUAUUUAUGAAAUCUACACAGAAUAGAAAACACGUCAUCACUUUCUCAAUGAAUGUCCAUUAAUAACAAUUCAAAAAGGAGGAAGGAGAGAAAGAAAUGAGAGAAGAAGGCAGGUUCAACCGAGCUCAAACAGAGGAAGAAUGAGAGAAAGAGGAGAGGAAAUGAGAAAGAAAAGAGAGGAGAAGAGAGGAUAAAUGAGAGAAGGGGAAAAGGAAAGGGAGGAAGAAAUGUGAGUAGAAGGCAGGCCCAACCAGGCUUAACACAGGCCGAACCAAGCUCGAAGAAAGUAAGAAUGGCAAAGGGGAAGAGGAAAGAGAUGAACAAAUAAGGAUGCGUUUAUUUUAUAUUGUGGGAUCCAUGAAAUACAGUUUUUAUACAGUAGUUUUUAUAUAUUUUUUUAAUUAAAUUUCAUAAAAAUUCUUUAAAUUAUGUUUGUUUUUGAAUUUAAAAAAUGCUUUUAAAAAAAUAAUUUUUUUAUUUCAAAUUAAUAUAUUUUUUAAUAUUUUUAAAUAUUUUGAUGCGCUGAUAUAAAAAAUAAUUUUAAAAAAAUAAAAAAAAUUAUUUUGAUAUAUUUUUAAUUAAAAAAUACUUUGAAAAAAAACCGUAAUUAAUCAAUUACAUUUCCAGACACAACUCCAAACAUUUUUUAUUUUAUUUUUACUAUACAUAAACUUUAAUCAUAAUUUUUAUCAAACAUAUAUUUAAAUCUAACUAAUCAUAACUAAUUAUACCUUUUUAAAUUGAUUUUUUUAAAUUAUAAUCAUAAAAAUUAAUUAAAACAAAAACAGUCUAAAAUAACUACAAAGGCUGAUAAAAUAUAGAAAUUUUUUGAAUGAAAAUUUAUUUCAAAAUUAUUUUUAAAAUAAAUUUAUUUUAUAUUUCUAUAUUAAUUUUUAAAAUUAAACUAAAACACGUUUAUAUGGUUUCAAUAUCUAUCAAAAUAAUGUCCUUUUGAUUAAAAAAAAAAGGUUUGAAAUGGUGCCCUUUCAGCCUAGGUUAAGCCCUUUUCUCUUCAAUUCUUUGUUUUAGGCUUUUAGCCAUUCAUCUCACUCUCCCUUAUUACACAGUGAAUAAAAUCCACCCUUUCUCUGCCAUUCUUCUCUCCCACUUCAAGUGGUGAUGAUGAUGUCCAUGGCAAUGGCAUUGAAGCAACAAAGAGUUUUAAUGGCUAUUUCUUCUCCUUCAGCUUCAACCCUUCUUGGGUUUCACUCUCAGAGAAGCCAAGCUGAAACGGGUAUGAUUUUCUUUCUUCAUACUUCCAGUAGUAGAAGUGGUAGGCCAAAGUACCAGAAGGGAUGCUCUUUUACAAACAUUGAAGAUGCCUUGUGUUGCUUUAAUCACAUGGUUCAUAUGCAUCCCCUGCCUCGUAUUAUCGAAUUUAAUGAUUUUUUAUCAGCUCUUGUCAGAAUCAAACAUUAUGGGACUGUGCUUUAUUUGUCCAAACAAAUUGAAUUGCUGCAGAUCGAACGUGAUGUGUGUCAUUUUAGCAUUUUGAUUAAUUGCUUCUGUCGCUUGCAACGCGUGGAUUUUGGGUUCUCUGUCUUGGGGAAAAUCAUUAAGCUUGGUUUUGAACCCAGUGUUAUGGUUUUUUCUACUUUAAUUAACGGGCUUUGUAUUAAGGGUAAAAUUGCUCGUGCUGUGGAAUUUUUUGAUGAGAUGGUGGAAAGAGGCUAUCCACCUAAUCUACAUACAUAUACCACGAUUAUAAAAGGUUUGUGUAAGAUUGGUGAAACCCCUGUUGCUGUUGGAUUGCUCAAGAAAAUGGACAAUGCAGGUUGCCAACCGAAUGUUGUCACAUACAGUACGCUUAUUGAUAGCCUUUGCAAGGAUAGACUAGUCAAAGAGGCUUUAGAUAUCUUCUCUGAAAUGAAAAGUAAAGGGAUUCAACCGAAUGUUGUCACUUACAAUUCCUUGAUGCAUGGUCUAUGCAAUUCAGACCAGCAGGAAGAGGCGUCAGCAUUGUUCAAUGAAAUGAUGAGUUUCAACAUCUUGCCAGAUGUAGUUACCUUCAACAUUUUGGUCGAUACAUUUUGUAAAAAGGGCAAGAUUUCAGAGGCUCAAGGAAUAGUCAAGACAAUGAUUGAGAAGGGUGUGGAGCCUAAUACAGUGACUUAUAGUUCGUUGAUGAAUGGAUAUCUUUUGCAAAACAGAGUUUUUGAAGCUAGAAAGGUAUUCAAUGCGAUGAUAACCAGGGGCUGUAUACCUGACGUUCUUAGUUACAACAUCUUAAUCAAUGGAUGCUGUAAGGCCCAGAGGAUAGAUGAGGCAAAACAAAUUUUUGAUGAAAUGAGUUUUCGAGGCUUAAUUCCAAACACCGCUACUUACAACACUCUUAUAAGUGGUUUGUCUCAAGCAGGGAGAAUUUUUGAAGCAAAAGAGCUUUUCAAGAAUAUGCAUGUCCAGGGCUGCAUGCCUAAUGUUCUUAGUUACAACAUCUUAAUCAAUGGAUCUUGUAAGGCCCUGAGGAUAGAUGAGGCAAAACAGCUUUUUGAUGAAAUGAGUUUUCGAGGCUUAAUUCCAAACACUGCCAGUUACAACACUCUUAUAAGUGGCUUGUUUCAAGUUGGGAGGAUUUUGGAAGCAAAAGAGCUUUUUAAGGAUAUGCAUGCCCAGGGCUGCUCCCCAGAUCUAGUAACUUACUCAAUUUUGCUUGAUGGCUUAAGCAAACAAGGUUGCCUUGAUCAGGCAUUGGAACUAUUUCAAGAAAUGCAAAACAAUUACUUGAACCCUGAUUUGGUGAUCUAUAAUAUCUUAAUUGAUGCCAUGUGCAAAUCUGGGAAGCUUGAAGAUGCAAGGGAGCUGUUUUUGAAACUCAUUGUCAAAGGAUUGCUGCCUGAUGUUCGAAGUUGGACCUCAAUAAUCAGUGGACUUUGCAGAGAAGGAUUGCUAGAUGAAGCAUACAAAGCUUUCAGACAAAUGGAAAGGGAUGGCUGCCCACCAGAUUGUUGCUCUUACAAUGUUAUUGUCCGAGGAUUUCUCCAGAGCAACAGUGCAUCAAGGGCUGAACAACUUUUUCAGGAAAUGUUUGAUAGAGGAUUCUCUGCAGAUGCCCUGACCAGAACCUUGGCGGCAGAUCUGUUGUCUAAAGAUGACAAUCUUGGUUUGAAGAGGUUGCUCGGUGAAUCUGAAUGUUGUCAAGGUGAAAAGGUGAUGUAAAAUUGUAAAUUUUCCGUACCCAGUGCUGCUAGUUGUUGGUGCAAAUAUUACAUGACUUCUCUUGGUUCAAUCCUGUCGCAAUUUUAACAAUAUUCACUUUCUUUUGUUUCAUGUAGUUCUUACUCUUUAGGACUGGCAUUCACCUAUUCUAGGUUAUAUAUUCAUGCUAGUUCUUUUAUGUGUAUCCAUAAAUAUAGUGUUGGGUAGAUUACCUGAAUGAAAGUCAUUCAAGUUUUCCUGUAAGUUAUUAACUUAUUUAAAUGUUUAUCAUCUUGAAUGACUCCAAAGACUCUUUUGCUUCAAGCACCCCGGAUUUCUUCAUACAUCAGUUCUUGCUGAAAACAAUCCCUGUCCUACUGUAUUUGCUAGAUUCUUGGUCAUUGUGCAUUUCCGUAUGAGGAUGGAUGCUACUCCCACUUUUACAAAUAAAAACAAAAGAAUAUGGGUGUGAUGCCAUUGAGUUUUGUUUUGUUUAUGCUUGUUUGUUUGAUCUUUUGAUCUGUUUGUGGAUUUGGGUGAUAUAUUAAUGGUAUGUUACCUGGAAAAGAACUUUAGAUCUUAGUGUUAAGUAUUCUAGAAUUCGCAUCAGAUGUUUCAGAUCAAGUAGGUACAAGUGCUUAUAUAAAUUUGUGGUUGAUUAGAGUUAAACAAUGAAAACAAUUUAAUUUUUCUCUAAGUGAUUAAACAUAUUUGAAUUUUCAUAUUAAAUAACUUUCAAUACAUGUAUAUGUAUGCUAUCUUUUUUUUUUCCCGCGAUAGUUUCUUUUGUUUGUGGAUAGGAUUGUAUGUCUUUUUCUUUGUUGAAUAUAUGCAUGUUAUGUUUUCAAGAAAAUAACCCUGUAUCUUGAAGUUUUAUGUUGUACAGUGGGAAUUAAACUUCUUGUGAUUAGCAACUAGGCAGGUCGGAUUUGGAAGAAGAGUUUUGAUAUAAUUUUGAUUUGCAUAGGAUGAUUGAGAUCAUGUGUACAAAGGGAUAUAGGCUGGCCAUUUAUGAUUGUUUUAGCAAAUUGUUGUUAUAAUUAUGUUUGAAGCUGAGGUAUUGAUAUGCUGGCAGUAAUACUAAAACAUUCAAUGCUAAAUGCUUGAUGCUUAUGAAAUUGAGAGUUGAAUUCCUUGUAAUUAUUGAGAUUAGGCAGCAGAGUGAUAAAAUUAUUUGAACAUUUUCAUGCAGGAAAACUAACAUGAAUCUGGUGAAUUAUUCCUGUGAAACAAUUGCUGUAUGAUGUUUCUUUGCAUGACCAUACGUGGAGGAUAAACAUGAUGUGCUUAGAACUUUCCAGAAUCAUACUUUAUGUUCUUAUCUAUUUUGCUUAUCUCUAUUUAUUCUUCAAAUUGAGAAAUCAAUCCUGUGUAUUAUGGAUAAUUAUUUUACACACCUCUUACUGCGGGCAGGAUAAGAUACAUUUUGUAGAAAAGGAGAAAUGAGAGAAGAAGAUGCAAAUUAAUCUUGUAUAGAACACGAACUCCGACAUGCCUAUACAAAUCUGUUUAUUACAUUAGAUGAAAGAAUCGGUAUUGAGUCCAUAGAAAGUAGCAUGUACUUCUAAUUUGAACUACUUAUCCUCUAUUUAGAUGCUAUGUUAUUGAGGUGAUAUGACAUUGUUUUUCAUGCAGCAAUACUCAUAUUUGCUUUUUUCUUCCAAGAGACCUUGUGGUCGUUGGGUUUUACAAGUUUGAAACUAAGAUGUGUUUGUCAAAUGAUCCAUUAUUGAGAUUUCAAAAAUGAGUUGCUAUGAUAUAUAGUCACCUGAUCUCAAUUCUAUAUUAUGUUAAAUUUGACAAAGAUUUUCUUCACAAAAUUUGUCUGGAGGUCUGCAAAUGUUACUCUUCACUCCAGAUUCUGGGAGUUAGACCAGUUUCAGAACUCAAAUUAAUGUGCUUUUUUCUACCAGGAAAUUAUCUCAAGUUCUACAAUGCCAUAAGAAGUGCCUAUCCCGACAUCAAAAUAAUCUCAAACUGUGAUGGGUCUUCUCGUUCUUUGGAUCACCCAGCUGAUUACUAUGAUUAUCAUGUAAACAUCCUGUCAUGAUAGCUUUGUUUUCUUUCUGGUUUGCAGUAUUGUACUUUUGCAUAUUUUCAUCAGUCAGAAAACACAAUGUUAAUCCUCUUUUAUUCUUUGAACUAGGUUUAUACAUCUGCCAGCAACCUGUUUUCUAUGACUCAUAAGUUUGAUUGCACAUCCCGCAGUUGUCCAAAGGUGUGUCGUAUGCCUUUUGACAACAUACUGACUAAAAUAUGUGACAAAUAUUCAUGGGAUUUACUAUUUUUGAGGCUUCUGUGAGCAACGAUGCUGUGACUGGAAAAGAUGCGGGCACAGGAAGUCUUUUAGCUGCACUCGCUGAAGCCGGAUUCCUCAUUGGUCUAAAAAGGAACAGGUUUGUAAUACUUGUUCCAGCAAUCUUAAGUUAUUUGUCAAUGUGCUAUUCAGUGAUCGAGGGUCUGAAAUUUUUAAUGCCUUCCCACUCUCUUUCCCCGCGGAGGGGGGUUGAACAAAUUAAUAAAGAACUCCUUUGAAAUAGUGAGUUCAAACAAUUCCCAGAUCAUCAUUCAUGGUAUUCUGGUUCAAAUUUGAUGCCAUGGCCAAAGUAUUCUUUUUGUGUUUUCAUACUCACGAAAAUUCCAAUUCUUGAGGCGUUUAUCUCCCCAUUUCUGUGGUAUUGUGUAGAUGGCAAGCUAGGCACCACUUUUCUGUGAAUUGCAGUAAUAGGAGGUCCAAUCUCAUUCUAUUCCUCAAUAAUUAAUUCAAAUUCAAGCAUGCAUGGCAAGGGAUAUCAUUUUCUUUUCAGGGUACUGACAUUGAAAGGAACUUUUCUAUGAAGGUGGAAUCCAGAUGCAAUUGUCUUCAACUCAUCAAAGCACUAUGGAACUCCGAGCUACUGGGUGCAAAAAUUCUUCAGAGAGUCAAGUGGAGCAACUCUUCUUGACGCUAAGCUACAGACAAAUUCCUCUACACUUGUUGCAUCUGCAAUUACUUGGCAAAAUUCAAACUUACCUGAAAAUAAAGGUAUGCUAAUACCAGCAUAGUUUGCAGGGAUCGUGCCCUAAACACCAAUUUUAAGUUUUUAUCCCUUUUUUUUUUUUGUCAAUGCUGCAAGUUUGAAUCCUUUUUGCAAUUUAACAAAUAUGGCUUAAUCCAUCGAGUCAACUUUAGUGGUCUUCCCAACAUGACAUGCUGCCGCUGGCUGACGACAAAACACAAACACACGUAAAAUCGGGUUGUAAGAGUUUCUGUUUGAUUUUUUCCAGCCAAGUUCUUACUUUCAGGAAAAUGUAUUUUUCAGAUUGUGAAUUUUGGGAACAGCAAAGUGAAUCUCAAAGUUUCUAUUGAUGGAUUGGGGCUCAGCUCACGAUUGUCUGGAUCAACAAAAACUGUGUUCACUUCUUCUAAUGUAAUGGACGAGAAUUCCUUCGUGGAUCCAAAAAAGGUUUCUGACAUCGUUGUCAUGACCCUCAUGAAUUUUCAAUGACCUCAGAACCUUUCAAUUCCAGUUUAUGUAGCAAAUCUGCUAACUGUCUUGGCUUCUUCACGUAAUGCAGGUGGUGCCAGCCCAAACUAUGCUCGAGAAUGCUGACAAAGACAUUGAUGUUGUGCUCUCUCCAUGUUCUUGAACUUCAUUUGAUUUGGAGUGCAAAAAUCAAUUAAUAUUUUAAUUUUCUAGAAAAUUAGAGUACACAAAAUAAAACUUGAACUUUCUGUUCGAAUUUAAUAUUUCUCUAUCAAGAAAUUUUUAAAAGUAGUUUUUUAAA